AUUGAACGCUGGCGGAAUGCUUUACACAUGCAAGUCGAACGGUAACAGGUCUUCGGAUGCUGACGAGUGGCGAACGGGUGAGUAAUAUAUCGGAACGUGCCCAGUCGUGGGGGAUAACGUAGCGAAAGUUACGCUAAUACCGCAUACGAUCUAAGGAUGAAAGCGGGGGAUCGCAAGACCUCGCGCGAUUGGAGCGGCCGAUAUCAGAUUAGGUAGUUGGUGGGGUAAAGGCCCACCAAGCCAACGAUCUGUAGCUGGUCUGAGAGGACGACCAGCCACACUGGAACUGAGACACGGUCCAGACUCCUACGGGAGGCAGCAGUGGGGAAUUUUGGACAAUGGACGCAAGUCUGAUCCAGCCAUUCCGCGUGCAGGAUGAAGGCCCUCGGGUUGUAAACUGCUUUUGUACGGAACGAAAAGGUUUCUAUUAAUACAAGGGGCUCAUGACGGUACCGUAAGAAUAAGCACCAGCUAACUACGUGCCAGCAGCCGCUGUAACAC
rnacentral:rRNA from 1 species